UAAGAUGUCCAACGAUGGUUGCUUUUGAGUGGGAUGAUAUAAUAAAGCAUCAAAUAAUUUACAUUUGGCUUUUGCAGAAGAUUUGACUCUUCAAACUAUGUUUCAUUCAUGUUAAUGCUCAAAUUGUUUUGAGUUUUCCAAGACAAGUAGAAGGGGAAAGAGGUGGGAGGGCCAAGGAGUGGUAUAAUUCAGGAAAACCUUGUGUGUUUUGGCUGUCAGGUUUCUUUUUCACUCAGGCCUUUUUAACUGGAGCUAUGCAGAAUUAUGCCAGAAAAUAUACCACCCCUAUUGAUUUGCUAGGAUAUGAAUUUGAGGUUAUCCCAUCUGAUACAUCUGACACAUCACCAGAAGAUGGUGUUUAUAUCCACGGAUUGUAUCUCGAUGGCGCACGCUGGGACCGAGAAAGUGGAUUGCUUGCUGAACAAUAUCCCAAACUUCUGUUUGACCUGAUGCCCAUCAUAUGGAUAAAACCAACUCAAAAAUCUCAGAUUAUAAAGUCGGAUGCCUAUGUCUGUCCCCUCUACAAGACAAGUGAACGUAAAGGAACUCUUUCCACUACGGGACAUUCUACUAACUUUGUCAUUGCAAUGUUGUUAAAAACAAACCAACCUACUCAGCACUGGAUCAAGCGCGGGGUUGCUUUGCUUUGUCAGUUGGAUGACUAAAUUGGACAAAUGUAUAAAACAUCCAAAAGUUUUUUUAAAAAACCUGUCCUACUUAAAAUAUAUACAUUAUAAAACCAA
rnacentral:sRNA from 1 species